GUUCAGGGGGCCUUUAAGAAUAUAAAGCUACAACUAUAAAAUUAAGCACACUCAGGAAAGUAGCAACUUGGAAAAAAAAAUCUAGCAUGCCUAAAGUUUUCAGGAGAUGCAUAUUUCCUUUGUCUUUCUUAGGCUGCCUGCAUGU
rnacentral:snoRNA from 1 species